rnacentral:lncRNA from 1 species
GUGGAAGUGAGGAGGAGGCUCCAUGUAGCCUUGGUAGUGCUGGAUCCAGAGGUCUUAAUGGGAGUGUUUGGAGGUCACUUGAAAGUAUGUGUGAGGCAGAUGGUGAGUCUGAUGAGGAACCUGAAGAUCACUUUAUCCUGGUGCUCGUGGCCUACUUGGUGUGCUGUCCCUUAGGAGCUGUGGCCAUGUACUAUUCUGAACAGACAAGGAAACACAACUAUAAGAAUGAACGAGACCUGGCAGCCGAGGCUUCCCGCUAUGCCUUCAUAUUUGCGAUUGCAGCAAUUCUGGUGGUAUGCAUCGGUAUAUUACUCCUCGUGAUUCUCUUGACAGUGGCCAUACUUUCUCGGUAACCUGCCUUCCAGCUCAUGAGCAAAUCACCAAAUAUAUACAGCAGCAUUACUUAGAUGGCUCUAAGUAUCCAUUUGGGCUAAAUGGGACAUCAGCUCCUCAAUGUCUAGAGUGCCAAGUGUUGCCAGCCUGAGCAAGCACCUUGAGGUUGUGGAAGUGGGGAGGAAGUGUAACGCAGCCCAUUUGACCUGUGCUCAAGACCAACUCUGGGACCCUGCCAAGGGAUGGGACCAUGGGAAGUAGGGAACUAGGAAUGCAACAGAGCAAGAUAAGAAGAUCUCUUUCUGAUGGAGCUUACAUUCUGGCAGGGAAGGAAACCAGAAACAAAUAGACCUCUAAACACACAAGGGUUUCGCGGAUUCAAAUCCUGGGCGCGAACAUGGCACCGCUCGUCAGGCCAAGCUGAGGCGUCGUCCCACAUGCCACAACUGGAAGGGCUCACAGCUAAAAAUGCACAACCAUGUACCGGAGGGCUUUGGGAAGAAAAAGGAAAAAUAAAAUCUUUAAAAAACACUUACAGCAACUUGACAUUUUCAUGACAUCCAAGUAUGUGAUCAGGAGCCUUGUGUAGGUGAACAGGG